UACAGAGGGGGCAAGCGUUAUUCGGAAUUAUUGGGCGUAAAGGGCGCGUAGGCGGCCUGGCAAGUGGAAGGUGAAAUCCCUCGGCUUAACCGAGGAACUGCCCUCCAAACUGUCUGGCUAGAGUCCGGAAGAGGAGAGUGGAAUUCCUGGUGUAGCGGUGAAAUGCGCAGAUAUCAGGAAGAACACCUAUGGCGAAGGCAGCUCUCUGGGACGGUACUGACGCUGAGACGCGAAAGCGUGGGGAGCGAACAGG
rnacentral:rRNA from 1 species